GGACGAACGCUGGCGGCGUGCUUACCACAUGCAAGUCGAACGGAAAGGCCCUGCUUUUGUGGGGUGCUCGAGUGGCGAACGGGUGAGUAACACGUGAGUAACCUGCCCUUGACUUUGGGAUAACUUCAGGAAACUGGGGCUAAUACCGGAUAGGAGCUCCUGCUGCAUGGUGGGGGUUGGAAAGUUUCGGCGGUUGGGGAUGGACUCGCGGCUUAUCAGCUUGUUGGUGGGGUAGUGGCUUACCAAGGCUUUGACGGGUAGCCGGCCUGAGAGGGUGACCGGCCACAUUGGGACUGAGAUACGGCCCAGACUCCUACGGGAGGCAGCAGUGGGGAAUAUUGCACAAUGGGCGGAAGCCUGAUGCAGCAACGCCGCGUGCGGGAUGACGGCCUUCGGGUUGUAAACCGCUUUCGCCCGUGACGAAGCGUGAGUGACGGUAAUGGGUAAAGAAGCACCGGCUAACUACGUG
rnacentral:rRNA from 1 species